UGCCAGACUCCUACGGGAGGCAGCAGUGGGGAAUAUUGCACAAUGGGGGAAACCCUGAUGCAGCAACGCCGCGUGAGUGAGGAAGUAUUUCGGUAUGUAAAGCUCUAUCAGCAGGGAAUAGAAAAGAAGGUACCUGAAAAAGAAGCCCCGGCUAACUACGUGCCAGCAGCCGCGGUAAUACGUAGGGGGCAAGCGUUAUCCGGAUUUACUGGGUGUAAAGGGAGCGUAGACGGAAAGGCAAGUCAGAAGUGAAAUCCCAAGGCUCAACCAUGGGACUGCUUUUGAAACUGUCAAACUAGAGUACGGGAGAGGUAAGAGGAAUUCCUAGUGUAGCGGUGAAAUGCGUAGAUAUCAGGAGGAACACCGGCGGCGAAGGCGG
rnacentral:rRNA from 1 species